rnacentral:rRNA from 1 species
ACGGGAGGCAGCAGUAGGGAAUCUUCCACAAUGGACGCAAGUCUGAUGGAGCAACGCCGCGUGAGUGAAGAAGGUUUUCGGAUCGUAAAGCUCUGUUGUUGGUGAAGAAGGAUAGAGGUAGUAACUGGCCUUUAUUUGACGGUAAUCAACCAGAAAGUCACGGCUAACUACGUGCCAGCAGCCGCGGUAAUACGUAGGUGGCAAGCGUUGUCCGGAUUUAUUGGGCGUAAAGCGAGCGCAGGCGGAAGAAUAAGUCUGAUGUGAAAGCCCUCGGCUUAACCGAGGAACUGCAUCGGAAACUGUUUUUCUUGAGUGCAGAAGAGGAGAGUGGAACUCCAUGUGUAGCGGUGGAAUGCGUAGAUAUAUGGAAGAACACCAGUGGCGAAGGCGACUCUCUGGUCUGCAACUGACGCUGAGGCUCGAAAGCAUGGGUAGCGAACAGGAUUAGAUACCCUGGUAGUCCAUGCCGUAAACGAUGAGUGCUAAGUGUUGGGAGGUUUCCGCCUCUCAGUGCUGCAGCUAACGCAUUAAGCACUCCGCCUGGGGAGUACGACCGCAAGGUUGAAACUCAAAGGAAUUGACGGGGGCCCGCACAAGCGGUGGAGCAUGUGGUUUAAUUCGAAGCAACGCGAAGAACCUUACCAGGUCUUGACAUCUAGUGCCAUCCUAAGAGAUUAGGAGUUCCCUUCGGGGACGCUAAGACAGGUGGUGCAUGGCUGUCGUCAGCUCGUGUCGUGAGAUGUUGGGUUAAGUCCCGCAACGAGCGCAACCCUUGUUAUUAGUUGCCAGCAUUAAGUUGGGCACUCUAAUGAGACUGCCGGUGACAAACCGGAGGAAGGUGGGGAUGACGUCAAGUCAUCAUGCCCCUUAUGACCUGGGCUACACACGUGCUACAAUGGACAGUACAACGAGAAGCGAGCCUGCGAAGGCAAGCGAAUCUCUGAAAGCUGUUCUCAGUUCGGACUGCAGUCUGCAACUCGACUGCACGAAGCUGGAAUCGCUAGUAAUCGCGGAUCAGAACGCCGCGGUGAAUACGUUCCCGGGCCUUGUACACACCGCCCGUCACACCAUUGAAGUCUGCAAUGCCCAAAGCCGGUGGCCUAACCUUCGG